UACGUAGGGGGCCAGCGUUGCUCGGAAUUACUGGGCGUAAAGGGUCCGUAGGCGGUGUGGCAAGUCGGGAGUGAAAUCUCUGGGCUUAACUCAUAGGCUGCUUCCGAAACUGUUGUGCUUGAGUGUGGGAGAGGCGCGUGGAAUUGCAGGUGUAGCGGUGAAAUGCGUAGAUAUCUGCAGGAACACCCGUGGCGAAAGCGGCGCGCUGGACCACAACUGACGCUGAGGAACGAAAGCUAGGGGAGCAAACAGG
rnacentral:rRNA from 1 species